ACGGGUGAGUAACGCGUGGGAAUCUACCGUACCCUACGGAAUAGCUCUGGGAAACUGGAAGUAAUACCGUAUACGCCCUAACGGGGAAAGAUUUAUCGGGGUAUGAUGAGCCCGCGUUGGAUUAGCUAGUUGGUGGGGUAAAGGCCUACCAAGGCGACGAUCCAUAGCUGGUCUGAGAGGAUGAUCAGCCACAUUGGGACUGAGACACGGCCCAAACUCCUACGGGAGGCAGCAGUGGGGAAUAUUGGACAAUGGGGGCAACCCUGAUCCAGCCAUGCCGCGUGAGUGAUGAAGGUCUUAGGAUUGUAAAGCUCUUUCACCGAUGAAGAUAAUGACGGUAGUCGGAGAAGAAGCCCCGGCUAACUUCGUGCCAGCAGCCGCGGUAAUACGAAGGGGGCUAGCGUUGUUCGGAAUUACUGGGCGUAAAGCGCACGUAGGCGGGUAUUUAAGUCAGGGGUGAAAUCCCGCAGCUCAACUGCGGAACUGCCUUUGAUACUGGGUAUCUUGAGUAUGGAAGAGGUAAGUGGAAUUGCGAGUGUAGAGGUGAAAUUCGUAGA
rnacentral:rRNA from 1 species